rnacentral:rRNA from 1 species
CUACGGGAGGCUCCAGUGGGGAAUAUUGGGCAAUGGGCGCAAGCCUGACCCAGCAACGCCGCGUGAGGGAAGAAGGUUUUCGGAUUGUAAACCUCUGUCCUUGGGGACGAAGAAGUGACGGUACCCAAGGAGGAAGCUCCGGCUAACUACGUGCCAGCAGCCGCGGUAAUACGUAGGGAGCAAGCGUUGUCCGGAAUUACUGGGCGUAAAGGGUGCGUAGGCGGCAUAGUAAGUCAGGUGUGAAAUACUCGGGCUCAACCCGAGGGGUGCAUUUGAAACUGAUAAGCUUGAGUGUGAGAGAGGAAAGUGGAAUUCCUAGUGUAGCGGUGGAAUGCGUAGAUAUUAGGAGGAACACCAGUGGCGAAGGCGACUUUCUGGCUCAUAACUGACGCUGAGGCACGAAAGCGUGGGGAGCAAACAGGAUUAGAUACCCUUGUAGUC